AGAACGAACGCUGGCGGCGUGGAUAAGACAUGCAAGUCGAGCGAGAUUUUUUCUUGUAGCAAUACAGGGAAAAGUCUAGCGGCGAACGGGUGCUUAACACGUGGGCAAUCUGUCUUAAAGUGGGGGAUAGCUCGGCGAAAGGCGAAUUAAUACCGCAUGUGGUUGUAAGACCAAAGCCAGGGCAACCUGGCGCUUUUAGAGGAACUCGCGGCCUAUCAGCUUGUUGGUGAGGUAACGGCUUACCAAGGCUUCGACGGGUAGCUGGUCUGAGAGGACGACCAGCCACACUGGAACUGAGACACGGUCCAGACACCUACGGGUGGCAGCAGUCGAGAAUUUUUCUCAAUGGGGGAAACCCUGAAGGAGCGACGCCGCGUGGAGGAUGAAUGCUUUCGGGUUGUAAACUCCUGUCAUUUGGGAACAAGCCUUACGUUAACUGCGUGGAGGUUUGAUAGUACCGAAAGAGGAAGAGACGGCUAACUCUGUGCCAGCAGCCGC
rnacentral:rRNA from 1 species